CCUACGGGGGGCUGCAGUCGAGAGGCUUCGUCAAUGCCCGAAAGGGUGAACGAGCGACGCCGCGUGCGGGAUGAAGGGCUUCGGCUUGUAAACCGCUUUUGUUUGGGAAGAAUGCCCGGAUCGUGAAUCUGGGAGGGACGGUACCAGACGAAUAAGCCCCGGCUAACUCCGUGCCAGCAGCCGCGGUAAGACGGAGGGGGCAAGCGUUGUUCGGAAUUAUUGGGCGUAAAGGGCGCGUAGGCGGAUUGGUAAGUCUGGCGUGAAAUCUCCACCACUUAACGGGGAGAGGUCGCUGGAAACUGCCGAUCUGGAGUUCGGUAGAGGAUCAUGGAAUUCCAGGUGUAGCGGUGGAAUGCGUAGAUAUCUGGAAGAACACCGGUGGCGAAGGCGGUGAUCUGGGCCGUAACUGACGCUGAGGCGCGAAAGCUAGGGGAGCAAACGGGCUUAGAUACCCGUGUAGUC
rnacentral:rRNA from 1 species